rnacentral:snRNA from 1 species
AAAGACUUGAGAGUCGGAGAAAAC